CCUGUCAGGACACAGCAUGGAUGCCAGGACACCAGCUCAGCUCCUGGGGCUCCUGCUGCUCUGGCUCCCAGGUGCCAGAUGUGACAUCCAGAUGACCCAGUCUCCAUCCUCCCUGUCAGCAUCUCUGGGAGACACAGUCACCAUCAGGUGCCAGGCCAGUCAGGGCAUUAACAAAGCGUUAAUCUGGUUUCAGCAGAAACCAGGGUCAUCUCCCAAGCGGCUGAUCUAUGCUGCAUCUACUUUGCAAUCUGGGGUCCCCUCCAGGUUCAGAGGCAGUGGGUCUGGGACAGAUUUCACUCUCACCAUCAGCGGCCUGCAGGCUGAAGAUUUUGCCUCUUAUUACUGUCUACAAGUUAAAAGUUGGCCUCCCACAGUGCUACAAGCCUGA